rnacentral:rRNA from 1 species
UACGAAGGGGGCUAGCGUUGUUCGGAAUUACUGGGCGUAAAGCGUGCGCAGGCGGCCUUCCAAGUCAGGGGUGAAAGCCCAGAGCUCAACUCUGGAAUUGCCUUUGAGACUGUGAGGCCUGAGUACGGGAGAGGUGAGUGGAAUUCCCAGUGUAGAGGUGAAAUUCGUAGAUAUUGGGAAGAACACCGGUGGCGAAGGCGGCUCACUGGCCCGAAACUGACGCUCAUGCACGACAGCGUGGGGAUCAAACAGG